AACGAACGCUGGCGGCGUGCUUAACACAUGCAAGUCGAACGCGAAAGGGACUUCGGUCCUGAGUAAAGUGGCGCACGGGUGAGUAACGCGUAGAUAACCUGUCUUCGUGUCUGGAAUAAUACGCCGAAAGGUGUACUAAUACCGGAUAUUCUUGCUUUAUAUAAGUUUUGCAAGCAAAGGUGGCCUCUGCAUAUGCUACCGCAUGAAGAGGGGUCUGCGUACCAUUAGCUAGUAGGUAGGGUAAUGGCCUACCUAGGCGACGAUGGUUAGCGGGUCUGAGAGGAUGAUCCGCCCCACUGGCACUGGAACACGGGCCAGACUCCUACGGGAGGCACCAGUGAGGAAUAUUGCGCAAUGGGGGCAACCCUGACGCAGCGACGCCGCGUGAGUGAGGAAGGCCUUCGGGUCGUAAAGCUCUGUCAAGAGGAAAGAAGUGCAUAGCGGUUAAUACCCGUUAUGUUCGACGGUACCUCUAAAGGAAGCACCGGCUAACUCCGUGCCAGCCGCCGCAGUAA
rnacentral:rRNA from 1 species